GGAUGCGAUCGUACCAGCACUAAAGCACCGGAUCCCAUCAGAACUCUGAAGUUAAGCGUGCUUGGGCGAGAGUAGUACUAGGAUGGUGACCUCCUGGGAAGUCCUCGUGUUGCAUUCC
rnacentral:rRNA from 2 species